GGGGGGGGGGGGGGGGGGGGGGAGGGGGGGGGGGGGGGGGGGGGGGGCGGGGGGCUGGGGGGGCGGACGGUAGCGGCGGGCGGGGGAGGGACACGGGGAUAACCUACCUAUAAGACGGGGAUAACUGCGGGAAACCGGAGCUAAUACCGGAUAAUAUAUGGAACCGCAUGGUUCAAUAGGGAAAGACGGUUUUGCUGUCACUUAUAGAUGGAUCCGCGCCGCAUUAGCUAGUUGGUAAGGUAACGGCUUACCAAGGCAACGAUGCGUAGCCGACCUGAGAGGGUGAUCGGCCACACUGGAACUGAGACACGGUCCAGACUCCUACGGGAGGCAGCAGUAGGGAAUCUUCCGCAAUGGGCGAAAGCCUGACGGAGCAACGCCGCGUGAGUGAUGAAGGUCUUCGGAUCGUAAAACUCUGUUAUUAGGGAAGAACAAAUGUGUAAGUAACUAUGCACGUCUUGACGGUACCUAAUCAGAAAGCCACGGCUAACUACGUG
rnacentral:rRNA from 1 species